UACAUCGCCUCAGGCUUAUUGAAGAAUUGGGUAGGGAACCGACACCAAAAGAAUGUUUCAUCCGCACUCAUGGGAAGAAGUAUGGCACUCUCGAGGGUGAGCGUGCUACACAAAUUGUUGAACAAUUUGAUAAAGCCCUUGCAGAUAAGCA